ACCCGAAAAUCACCCGAUUUUUCUUUUAGAAUCCCCCAUUUAAACGAAAAUUACGUGCUUUCUCUUCGAGAACCCCCCAUUUAACCCGAAAAUUACGCGUUUUCUCUUUAAGCAUCUCCGAUUUUACCUGAAAAUCAGGUGUUUUCUCUUCGAGAAUCCCCCAUUUAAGCGAAAAUCAUUCGUUUCGUCUUCGGGAAUCCCCCAUUGAAGCCGAAAAUCACGCGUUUUCUCUUCAGAAAUCCACCAUUUAACCCGAAAAUCACACGUUUUCUCUUUGGAAAUCCCACAUUUAACCCGCAAAUCAUGCAUUUACUCCUCGAAAAUCUUCCAUUUAUGCGAAAAUCACACGUUUUCUAUUCGAGAAUCCUCCAUUUAAGCGAAAAUCACAGUGUUUCUCUUCGCAAACCCCCCAUUUAAGCGAAAAUCACAUGUUUUCUAUUCUAAAAUCUCGCAUUUAAGCAAAAAUCACGUGCUUUCUCUUCAAGAAUCCCCCUUUUAACCCGAAAAUCAUGUGUUUUCUCUUCAAGAAUCCCCCAUUUAAGCGAAAAUCACGUGCCUUCUCUUCGAUAAUCCUACAUUUAUGCGAAAAUCACACAUUUUCUCUACUAAAAUCCCCCAUUUAACCCGAAAAUCAUGUGUUCUCUAUUCAGAAAUCCCGCAUUUAACACGGAAAUCACGCAUUUUCUUUUUGAGAAUUCACUAUUUAACCCGAAAAUCACGCAUUUUCUCUUAGAGAGUCCACCAUCUUACCCGAAAAUCACACGUUUUCUCUUCGAGAAUCCCCCAUAUAAGCAAAAAAUCACGUGUUUUCUCUUAGGGAAUCCUCCAUUUACCUCUCCUGGGGGGCAGUCAGCUUUUAAAUGCUAUCUUGGAGAGCUGCAGCCAGGCUCCACCUUCCAUUUUAGGAUUGGAUUGCUUCCACCUGUGCUUUCAUAGCUGACUCAUUUCUGCCUCAGCUGUUCAAUCAGUGGUUCAGGCCGUGACUCAGCAUCUCCCAUUCACCUGGGGAGGUGCAGCCCUGCGAGCACAGCUGAUGGCAAUUUGGCUGUGGGGUGGGGCUGAUACGGGCUCCUCCCCUCCCUGACCCCAUUUAAGGUCUGGGAAGCUAAGGGGCAGCAUCUGAGUCUGGGUGUGCUUCCUUGUGGUUGUGGGUGUGAGUCCUUCUGUUUUGGAGGGCUGUGAUCUGCUCUUUUGCUGGGGGUUCAUAGUUGAAUUUUGGGGCUGGCAGCCUUCUGUAUCUGGAAACUGCUUCUUUGAGGGAGUGAGUGAGUAUUGGUCCUUGGGAUGAGGUAAGUAGUUUUUUUUUGAAUUUCAGGGCUCUGAGCUCCCCUUUUGAGGGGUUCUUGACCCCAUGUAAGAACUGGUAGCUCUCAGGGCCGUAUCUGAAUUUGGAGGCUGCUUCCUUUCGGGGUGUGGGGGGAAGCCCUUAAAUGGGGUGAGGGAUUCCUGCUUUAUUGUAGAGCUGUGAGCUCUGUCUUUUUGGGGAGAUCCUCAGCUGGAUUAGAGCAGCUGUAUCUGCUGUGUGUGUCCUUAUGGUGCCUUCAGUCUUGUCCUAAGGGAGAUGAAGGGAUUGUCUCCUGUUCUCUGAGCUGCUGAUGGAAGGACUGACAUCCAUUCCUUCCUUUCACAGUUCCCUUGCUUCUGGAUUGCUUCAAUGAGCCAUAAUGAUGCUGACUGGCUGCCUGAGUGCUGCAAUUCUAGGCAUGGUGACAGUUAAUGCCCUAUUCCGUUCAGGGGUUCUGCAUUCUGCAGGUCCUGUUUGCAGCCCUUUUUAAGCCCAUUUCUUUCUGGUUGAGCUGCUGUUCCCUCUUUCAUGGUUCUCACGUCGUAAUCUCCAACCUCGGCUCCAAAUGUGGUUUGUCUUCUCCCCCAUCAUCCCAUCUUAUGGCUGUAAUUCACAGUGCCAUGUGUUAAUUGCACCCACGCAGAGCUGUUUAAGGGCAUUCUGGGCAUCAUUAUCAUGUUUUAAAUUAUGUUCUCUCUUCUGAUCUUGAUUUGCAGCUCGAUGGGGUUUAAGGAUUGUUGGGACUCCUCUAAUUGGUGGUGUGAGGCCUGUGGAGCAGCUAAUGGAACUUCACGACUAUGCUGACUACACCAGGGUCUUACGGUCAUUUCUGUUUCACCAGCAGAUCUGGGUGGCAGCAGAGAGCUGCAGCGCUUCCGAGUGCUGUAACGACUGCACGGAGAGAAGUGCGGGUCUUCACGGGAACAGCAAGGAACCGAAAGCUGCAUUUCCUGGGAUGCCCUGGAACCCCACUUUGCUGACUGGUAAUUGCCUGCCCAGCAGGUGGCAGCAGAGAGCUGCAGCGCUCCCGAUUGCUGUAACGACUGCACUGAGAGACGUGCGGGUCUUCACGGGAACAGCAAGGAACCGAAAGCUGCAUUUCCUGGGAUGCCCUGGAACCCCACUUUGCUGACUGGUAAUUGCCUGCCCAGCAGGUAAGGGCAAUGCAUACCCACCGGUGUUUACCCCUUACUGAGUGAGACACAAGGUAGGGUUCUCAGAGCUCCUUUCUGCGCUUCAGGGUGCCCCGAAGGCUGCCUGUCCUAUUCGUUGCACGUUCUCCUUGGCUCUGGCCUUUCACGGUGGUGUUCUCCUUCCCUUUGCCCUUGGCGUUCCCUACUGCAUUCUCUUGCCCUCCUGUUUUUGCAUUCCAUGUCAUGUUCUCUUGGCCAUUGCCCUUGGCCUUCUUUGUGGCAUUCUCUUCGGCCUCCAGUUUUGGCAUUCCCUGCAGUGUUCUCUUUGGCUAUCACUUUUGGUGUUCCAUGCUGUGUUGUAUUUGGCCUUAGGUUUUUGCCACCCAUGCUAUGUUCUCCUGACCAUUGCAUUUGGCCUUCUUUGCCACAUUCUCUUUAGCCUUCAGUUUUGGCAUUCCCUUCCAUGUUGUCUUUUACCUUUGCCCUUGGCCUUCUUUGCCGUGGUCCUUUCAGCCUCCUGUUCUGGCAUUCUCUGUGACGAUCUCCUUGGCCAUUGGUUUUGGCAUUCCUUGUUGCGUUCUGUUUGGCCUUUGCCCUUGGCCUUCUUGUUUUGGCAUUCCCUACAGCGUUCUCUUUGGCCUUUGGUUUUGGCCUUCUGUGCUGCAUUCUUUUUGGCCAUUGCCAUUGGCCUCCUGCAUCGGCCUUCCCUGCAGCGUUCUCAUGGACCUCGCCCUCCAUUUUGGCCUUGCCAUGGUGUUCUCUUUGGUCUCUGUUUUGUUGUUCUCUGAGGCCCUCUCUUUGGGCCUGCCCUCUGAGGAGGUCUUCUCUUUGGUGUUCUCCAUACCUUUGCUUUCCCUUUGCCUUUGAUGUUGCCUAUGCCUUUGCCCUCUGUUUUGGUGUUCCCUUGGGUGUUGUUGCCUUUGCCUUGGCCUUCCAUAACAGUCACUUUGAGCACAACCCUAAUAAACCUAACCCUAAUACCUUCACCCCAACCCUAAUGAGCUCUGAACUCCAAACACAGUGUUAACUCUAACCAUGACUGUAUAGAUAGCUCUACUACCUGUCCAAAUUAACCCUCAACCUACCCUUCAAUUGAGCACUAAACCCUGAUCUGUAACCUUUGGUGUAAUUCUAACAACCCUACAACUUCCCUAUUAAAUAUUGUAACCUUCAUCUUAAGCUCUUUCUUGGGGUGCUAUUUUGCUUGCACUGUUUGUGGGGGUGGGUUAUGGAGAGUGCUGUUUGUGUCAUGACAUUGCUAGAGUUACCAAUAUUUCUUUCCAAAUUGUGUCUCCGUAUUACAGGUGAAGAUGUCUUCAACACUUUCAGGGUUGGCAACUUCCCCCUGGGAUGCCAUCAGCUUCCCAGGCCCUCCCAUAGCCUCUACCAGCUCAGUUCAGUGGAGCCUUUAUCCAUAUUCCCCAGUGCAUUCCCUUUCCAUAGCGUUCCUUUUCCUCUACUGCCGCCCAAGGUUGUCACGGGCAACGUGUGGGAUGCAGCACUCAGUCUAAUUGUAGUUCAUUCCAUCAGCCUCAGCCUGGCGAUCUGACCCUUCCCAUAUCCUUCCUUAGGGCCCUUCUACUUCCAGGUCAAUCGACACUUCCAUCUGCAACGCCCUCAGCAAACUUACCAAGGGUGCACUCCAUGCCGUCAGGCAGGUCUUCAAUUAAGAUAUUGGACAGAACAGGCCUGAAGAGCACUCAGGAUGGCAUACCAGCUGCAUUUAACAUGAUUGAGCAGCAGUCCUUAGGCCAGGCCGUUCAGCUAGUUCUAGUUAGUUCCAGCUAGUUUGCUAGCGUGACUCACCCUAAUCCCAUAACCGGCAUCCUGUAGCUGGACAGAGACCAUUUGCGCUCCAUCCAGGCUGUUUGAGACUCACGGCCAUGCUGAGAGUCACACUGAUUUUGCCAGGUGCAGUCAUUCUGCAUCAACGCAAUUGGCUUUAGCUUUACAAAUAAUUUAUCUCAAUCAAAUUGGCUUUAGCUUUGCAAUCAAUUGAUCUCAGCCAAAUUGGCUUUAGCUUUGCCUUGCUUACGGGGUUGGGUUAGCUUUGCUUUGUUUGUUUGUACCGCAGGGCUAACCCAACCCCGUAACCAACGCCUGAGGCCAUCGGAGCCCAUUUGCGCUCCUUCCCGGCCAGUCUGAGACUUGCGCCCCUUUGCGGCCAUUCUGAGAGUUGUGCUGAUUUUGGCAGGUGCAGUCAAUUUAUCUCGGCCAAAUUGGCUGUAGCUUUGCAAACAAUUGAUCUCAGCCAAAUUGGCUUUAGCUUUGCCUUGCUUACGGGGUUGGGUUAGCUUUGCUUUGUUUGUUUGUACCGCAGGGCUAACCCAACCCCGUAACCAACGCCCGAGGCCAUCGGAGCCCAUUUGCGCUCCUUCCCGGCCAGUCUGAGACUUGCGCCCCUUUGCGGCCAUUCUGAGAGUUCUGCUGAUUUUGGCAGGUGCAGUCAAUUUAUCUCUGCCAAAUUGGCUUUAGCUAUGCAAAGAAUUGAUCUCAGCCAAAUUGGCUUUAGCUUUGCCUUGCUUACGGGGUUGGGUUAGCUUUGCUUUGUUUGUUUGUACCGCAGGGCUAACCCAACCCCGUAACCAACGCCUGAGGCCAUCGGAGCCCAUUUGCGCUCCUUCCCGGCCAGUCUGAGACUUGCGCCCCUUUGUGGCCUUUCUGAGACUUGCGCUGAUUUUGGCAGGUGCAGUCAAUUUAUCUCGGCCAAAUUGGCUGUAGCUUUGCAAUCAAUUGAUCUCAACCAAAUUGGCUUUAGCUUUGCAAUCAAUUGAUCUCAACCAAAUUGGCUGUAGCUUUGCAAUCAAUUGAUCUCAGCCAAAUUGGCUUUAACUUUGCCUUGCUUACAGGGUUGGGUUAGCUUUGCUUUGUUUGUUUGUACCGCACGGCUAACCCAAGCCUGUAACCAAUGCCUGAGGCCAUCGGAGCCCAUUUGCGCUCCUUCCCAGCCAGUCUGAGGCUUGCAUUUACUUCAGGUGGGCUGAGAUCUGCUCUGCUGUUGAGGUGGGUUGCAGUACAGAAUGUUAGUGUAAAUGUAAUGUCAUUUAUGGGAUGUGGAGGCUUUGUGACCUUUGUCUGACAUAUAACACAUAUGUAAACCAUGCCUUAAAAUGUAUGGAGUACGCGGGUGCUGUGCCUGUAAAUGGUGUCUUGGAAUUGUAUGGAGUACGCGGGUGCUGCGCCUGUAAACAGUGUCUUGGAAUUGUAUGGAGUACGUGGGUGCUGUGCCUGUAAACAGUGUCUUGGAAUUGUAUGGAGUACGCGGGUGCUGCACCUGUAAACAGUGUCUUGGAAUUGUAUGGAGUACGUGGGUGCUGCGCCUGUAAACGGUGUCUUGGAAUUGUAUGGAAUCAGUGUAUCCAUGUUUUGUUUGUCAACAUGUAGGCAUUGCUGUAGUGUGCAUACAAUUGUACGAGUCAUGUCUUGAGGAAACAGUGCUGUAAUAAACAAAUACUUGUGCAAUCUAA